UACCAUACAAGGAAUAUGCAUUUGAGAGAAAGGCUCACUAUAGUGAGUAGGUUGACAUGUUCCCUAUCCACACUAACCUUCUACUUCAGGUGAAGUUCUGUUUGGAUCUAGUUUAUGGUUACUUAUUUCCAGACAAAUAAAUAUAGAAUCAAGAGGCAUAUGACAUGAAGAGACAUGUUAUUAAGCCUUCUGAUAUGUUUCUCCAUAUGAAUUUGAAUUAUUGGUGAAUUAUUUGCUGCUGUCUUUGCUGCUGUCUUACACUUGUUACAACGGGGGUAUAUAAUUGGCUCCUCAUUUUCUCAGUCUUUUUGCAAACUUCUCAAGGCUUGAAGAGACUACAAGCUUAAGAGGAAGCUUAUAAGUCCCUAUUGAGUCUCCUAGUUGGAGAGAAAGGCAGGGUAUAAAUAAACAUAAUAAUAAUAACAACAACAACAACAUAGGGCAGCAAUGGAGCUAGUCCGCAAGUCCUGCCAGCUGCCCACUUCUGCCUUAUAAAGAAAUGUAGAUUGAAUCUGCAGAUCAUAUUAUAUUUUGGGGGUGGGCUCAAUAUAUUUCCAGUGUUUCCACUUUCAUGGAAGAUCUGUGCCACGGAAGUGGAGGAUCGACUGUAAAUCAACCAAAGAGCAAAUCAAGCCUGAGCUCUCCCUAGAAGCCAAGAUGAUUAAACUGAGGCUGUUGUACUCUGGACAUAUCAUGAGAAGAUAUGGCUCACUAGAAAAGACAAUGUUUGGUAAUGUGGAAAGCAAUAGAAAAAGAAGAAACUGCAUCCCGAUAGACUCAAUCAAGGAAGCCACAGUUCUGAGAACUUUGAAAACUAGCAUUCUUCAAGAUCCAGUGUUGCCAUCAGAAUUACAUCACUGUAAUCCAAAAUGAAAAAAGAGAUAAUGCCAGAAGAUGACACUUCCAGGUUGCUUCACAGUGGUUUCAAAACACAGAGGCACAAUCUCCUCUAGUACAAACUAAUCAGUCAACAAACACAAGAUGAAGACUCACAGAUUGGAAAUGCUCAAUAUAUAUAUUCCAAUUACCAAGAAAAAUAUAACAGUGGGACACCAGUGACCACUAUUGCAUCACUGGUAAAGUUGAAAGGAAUAGAAAAAGAAGAAAAAAUUCAGGACCUGCCUAUCUCCGUGAUCGCCUCCUCUCCUAUGAACCAACGCGAACCCUAAGAUCAUCUGGGGAGGCGCUCCUCUCGCUCCCGUCUUUGUCUCAAAUGCGGCUGGUGGGGACAAGGGAGAGUGCCUUCUCGGCAGUGGCCCCCCGGCUCUGGAACUCUCUCCCUAAGGAGAUCAGGUUAG
rnacentral:lncRNA from 1 species